AUUGAACGCUGGCGGCAGGCCUAACACAUGCAAGUCGAGCGAGCGGCGGACGGGUGAGUAAUGUUUGUGAAACUGCCUGAUGGAGGGGGAUAACUACUGGAAACGGUAGCUAAUACCGCAUACCCUCAGAUGUGCCCAGCUGGGAUUAGCGAGUAGGGUGGGUAACGGCUAACCUAGGCGACGCUCCCUAGCUGGUCUGAGAGGGUGACCGGCCACACUGGAACUGAGACACGGUCCAGACUCCUACGGGAGGCAGCAGUGGGGAAGAUUGCACAAUGGGCGCAAGCCUGAUGCAGCCAUGCCGCGUGUGUGAAGAAGGCCUUCGGGUUGUAAAGCACUUUCAGCGGGGAGGCGUUACCCGCAGAAGAAGCACCGGCUAACUCCGUGCCAGCAGCCGCGGUAAUUC
rnacentral:rRNA from 1 species